GAGCGCUUGAAGGGGAAACUGUAGGUUGGAAAGUGGAAGAGAAGAGAAUUUUGAGCAAAAGAAGAAACUUAUGUUGGUAGGAGCUGCAGCAAGGCUAUGCAUUGCCUGAGUAGCAAAGCAUGGUAAGAUGCGGGUGUGGAUUACAAAGAUCAAACGAUCCUCUUGAUGAAAGAAAACUCCUGGAUAUUGAGCAGACUCCUCUCCAGGACUGUUUUGGACUGGGAUGAUCUUCCUAGCUGCAGUUGACAUGCAAACUGCUGCUAAUGCUUCUUUUAAAAAACAAAGUAGGUCAUUUACAUGGGCACUAAGUGGAUUGUUCCAAGGGUGUCACAUAGUGCCUGAGACUCCAAGGAGAGGAAGCUUUGGCAUUUGCCUUGAGUCUGGGGUUAUAGGAUGUGUGAGGAGCAGUGAUAAUCAAGAGCACAGUAUUUCUGAUGAACAUUUAAGCACCUGCAGCAGCUUGGAAACCCUGCACCUUUACUGCCUGCCUCCAAUAAGCAUUCACUCACCUUCUUGUGAAAAUGACAUUUCCUCAAUAUCCUGGAUUGUUAUUCUUUGUGUAAAAUAAAAGAGAGUAAAAAUCGCA